rnacentral:lncRNA from 1 species
ACGGUUUCAACGACACUAGUUUGUAUCGACGAUUGUAGCCACUGCAGCAGGAUGCUCUACCUGCUGCAAUUGCUGCUGGCUCCAAAUCUGGUGGAAGUGCGAUUACCGUGUGUUUGGCUCAUGAUCGGCAUAUACAAGUGUACGGAUUUUGUUAUUGGUUCAUGAUGCAAGAACUACUUGGAAAUGCAAGGCUAUGAAUGGACAUUGGUUUCGCUUGUGGAUUGGA